CCUACGGGUGGCAGCAGUGGGGAAUAUUGGACAAUGGGGGAAACCCUGAUCCAGCAAUGCCGCGUGUGUGAAGAAGGCCUGCGGGUUGUAAAGCACUUUCGGUUGGGAAGAAAAGUUUGGCGCCAAUACCGCCGAACCUUGACGUUACUGACAGAAGAAGCACCGGCCAACUCUGUGCCAGCAGCCGCGGUAAUACAGAGGGUGUAAGCGGUAGUCGGAAUUACUGGGCGGGUCGCGCACGUCGGGUGUGAAAUCCCCGGGCUUAACCUGGGAACUGCAUUCGAUACUACAUGGCUAGAGUAUGGUAGAGGGAAGUGGAAUGUCCGGUGUAGCGGUGAAAUGCGUAGAUAUCGGAAGGAACACCAAUGGCGAAGGCAGCUUCCUGGACUAAUACUGACACUGAGGCACGAAAGCGUGGGUAGCAAACAGGAUUAGAUACCCGAGUAGUC
rnacentral:rRNA from 1 species